rnacentral:lncRNA from 1 species
CAGGAACGGGCUCGGGAACAGGGUCGGGAGCAGACCCACAUAGAGGCUCAGGGUCAGGCCCAGAAAGGGGCUCAGGAAUGGGCUCGGGAUCGGGCUCGGGAUCAGGGCUGGGAGCAGACCCAGAUAGAGACUCAGAGGCAGACCCAGAAAGGGGCUCAGGAACGGGCUUGGGAACAGGGUCGGGAACAGGCCUUGACAAGUGGGAUGGCGCCUCGGGCCUGGGAGCAGCCCAUUAGUGGCAUAGCUGAGGGAGUGGAUGCUGCUGGCAGGAGUGGGGGGUCCAGAAGCCCAGCCCCCAGGGAUGGUGGACAGUCAGGGGGCAGUGGCCUGGGGGAGCCCAGCGCCGGGUACCCACCCCCAGGAAGCCGCCCCCUCAGGGGCAAGAGCAUUGCCACCUCUCCCCUGGGGCUGGGAAAGAGCCCAACUGAGCCCAAGCCUGAGGCUGGGGGCUGCGGGACUCCCCAGGCCCCGGCCCAGGAGGGGUCCCCAGACCACCCUGGGGCUGAGAGGGCCCUGCAGGACAGGAUGGAGGCAUCGGAGCCCGAGCGUCGCGGGAGGUCCAGGCACCUGGCCAAGUACAAAGCCCAGAGCUUCCGUGACCAGAGGGCCUUCGAUUUGUCCUUCAGACCAAUGAGCGUCAGGGCCAGCGACACGUCUGAGCUCCCAAAGUGAGGCCCCGAGUACACACCGUGGCUCGCCCAGCACUGUGACAUCCGCCCAUUGAGGGACUUCAGGCAUUUUCCUGCCUCCAAAUGCGUCUUGGAGCAUCCCCUACAGAGACGCCUGUUUCCAUAAUUUUCUUUCCCUUCUUCACAAGCUGACCUUGGGAGGAUUGAGCUACAUGUGGGUCGGGUUCCUGUCACCCCACAGAGCCACGAGGCCAUGGGGGUGGGAGGUGCGGGCCUGUGGCCUCACCAGGCCCUCGGGAUUCUUUGUGUCUUCACUCGGGGGCGCCGGCUCACCCCUCUCUCACACAGCCUGCAGCGUGGAGCUCACACCUCCCGCAGUGGCACGGUGUGUGCGUCCCCUUCGAUCUGCAGGAUGCUGGCACUUUGGGACACCUCCCCAGCUCUCACAGGGCCACCUCCCACUGCUCCCUGCCCACACCCCACCAUGCCCUGCUCUGACGUGGCCGCAUGGCACCCACCAUCCAUGGGCCCAAAGUGAUGCACACCGCCCCACCCCCAUGACUCGAAAGAAAGGGCAGAGCUUCCUCCAGCCUCAGACGCCCAGGUGGGUGCCGGGUGCUGUGUGGCUGCUGGGCCAUGUGGUGGUCACCAGAGGGUGUGGGGACGCUGGGAUCCCAGGCCGAAACCAGCUCAUCCGGAGGAAGAGGCCUCAGGAAAUGCCCACGUUAAGUUCUGAGAAAGGGACAGUGCAGAGCCGUGGGAAGCCAGGAUCCCAGGGAGGCUUCGUCUGGAAACUGGGUGCUGGGAGAACGAACGGGAGCCUGCCCGCCCUUCCCUGCAGUCCCUGUGGGUGGUGCCACUGGUGCCGGUGACCUGAGAGCCUCGCUGUCUGUCCUCCGUCCUCCCGAACAGCAUAGAAGUGUUUCCUGCCCUGGCCCGAGACGGCCCACGACUCCGGCCCUGUUCAGGUACUGAGGUAAUGCAUGUUCAGGCUGGAAUAUUUGAAUGCUGUCUAGAGGCACAAGAAGGAAAUCAAAGCCACCUGUGGUCACAUUGCCUCGAGAUGGUUUUUGUUGCUACUCUGGACUAUUUUUUAGGCUCUUCCUCCAUGCACCUAUUUUAAAGCACAUUCUUCCCCAUGAUGGAGCCAUGCACCUCCGUGUCGCGAUCCAUCGUCCCAGGCCACUCGGUGGCCUCUGAAACCCGGACCCGUGAGGCCACACGGCUGCCUGAGUGGCCCCGGAGCAGCUGGAUUUUCAGCGUGAACCGAUGCAGCCUGUCGCCCUACAGCCCCGCACCCUUGUUUUUGGUGGUGCCCUCCCUGUGGAAAGUUAAUUCCUGCUUUUUGAAGGUGUCUUGGCAUCUUCUGCCUUUGCUACUGAGCGGUUUCCUGAAACAGCCCUAAGCGUUCGCAAAGGCGCUUUGGUGCCUGCUGCGAGCACCUGUUUUCUGACUCGGAUGUUCCUUUAGAGGAAGGUGUUUUCCAGUGUCGGCCCUGAGAGGGCGUUCAGCAGGCGCGUCCUACCCACGCGGGGCUGAGGUCUCUCCUUCCAGGGAAGGUCCAUCCCGGCAGACGCCAGUGGCUUUGGCUCUGCAGCGCCAAGGAGGCGGCGUGGCGUCAUGCUCCGGGGAGCGCACAGGUUUCCUUCCAGUCGAACAAUUAACUUCAGAUCCAGCAGGUUUGACCCACCCUCACCUGCUGGGACAUGCGAGUGCUGGUGUCUGGAAGGAGGGCCGGGCUGUGCUGAGCUCUGGGGGGCCGGUCCCCACAGCUCCCCCGACAGGGCCCCCGGGGCCUCCUCUAUAAAUCAGGGGUCCGUGCUCCCAGCCCGCUUCGAGGGGUUUCUGCUUGGCGUGUGGGUUCUAAGUGCGAGCUGCUGUGUGUGGAGGCUCCUGAGCACCGGGUGCCCCUCGCGCGUGUGGGUCCCGGGGCAGCCCAGCUGCACACAGGAUGGUCCGGGGGUGCGGGUGGGGGCAGAGCUGAGCAUGGCGUGUACUUGGCCACAGAAGUCUUGCUGUGGUGCCGCUGGACCCCUGCUAGGAGGACAGGGUCCCCUCUCUCACGAAGCACACGGACCUCCAGAGUCCCUGCCCCUGCAGUCCUGGGAGCCUGCAGUUGGGGCUGGAGUUGGCCUCUCGGAGCCACCCAAACGGAGAGGCCCAUGAGAGGGGAGCUCAGGGGUCCAGCAGAGGCUGACAGAGUGGCCUCUUUGUCCUGUUGGCGGCCCCUGCUCAUGCCUGGGGCGUCCUCCCUGGAGCUGGGGGAGCUCAGGGACCCCCAGGUCUGUGUGGCUGCCCCUGCCACUCCAGGCACAGCGGCACGGCCCUCACUCUUUACCUAUUUGGAAUUGGAGGCAAUGAGUGGCAAGAACAUGAUGACAGACACGGGAGGUAAAAAUAUGUUCACUGGCUGUUCCCUUUAUAAAUAAGAAGUGGUGGGACUUGCGCUGCUAUUUUUAAAUAGACCAGAGAGUACACUGGAGAAGGCAUUGAGUGGUUUUAUUUUAAGUGGUGGAAAAAAUGAUGAGAAUCUCCUCCAGAUGACAGCUCCGGAAGUGUCGUGCCUGAACCCCUCUCACAGUCUGGCGGGCGCAGAGUCUGUGAGCGGCCAGGAGGCCACCUGCUCGACUGGCCCGUCCUCUCCAUGUGCCAGAUGCAGCCCAGCAUGACACUGCCCUCAGCUCAAAAACAGCACAGCUACUCUGUGUGCAGGAAAAAACUGCCAGUGACUUCACCAGGAUUUGAGAACGGUCCGUACGUUCACACUAAGCUGAGACAGCGCAGGUUAGAAGAUAGCGCGGGGAAGUAUUCACACUUCAGAUACGACCAUCACGGCCACAUGGCUAAGGCCCACACCCUCCCGGGGUGAAAUAACUACAGCAGAAGAAUGGGGCGCUAACCACCUCCACGGGCAUUUUAAAUAAAACCCAAAGUUGUUUUGUUUUUUUAAAAAAAAAAAAAAAGAAAGAAAGAAAGUGGCCGGGCACGGUGGCUCAUGCCUGUAAUCCCAGCACUUUGGGAGGCCGAGGCAGACAGAUCACGAGGUCAGGAGAUCAAGACCAUCCUGGCUAACACAGUGAAACCCUGUCUCUACUAAAAAUACAAAAAUUAGCCGGGCGUGGUGGUGGGUGCCUGUAGUCCCAGCUACUCGGGAGCCUGAGACAGGAGAAUGGCGUGAACCCGGGAGGUGGAGCUUGCAGUGAGCCGAGAUUGCGCCACUGCACUCCAGCCUGGGUGACAGAGCGAGACUCCGUCAAAAAAAAAAAAAAAAAGAAGAAAAGAAAAGAAAAGAAAACAGGAUAUUUAUUUUAGCUUCUUAGUUAACAUCAUUAAUUUUGUGUAGUUGAGCGACUCGUUGACUGCCUCCUCCCUGCAGUUUUUUACGGUGCCUCCGGCUGUCGACAGGCCCACUGUGAGCCGCAGGUCUGUGGGUGCAAGUGACAACAGCCGGGCGGGAGGCGGUGCACUCAGGCGGCAGGAAGGUCCCGAGACGGCGACGAGAAUGUGGUCAUGUUCAGGACACUCGCUCAGGGAGGGUCGUUGUCUGGGAUUUUACACGCUCAGCACCACCUCCUUAUUCUGUUCUCAGGGUAUCUCUGCUGUUGGAGUUACGGUCUUUCGGUUGUGUAUUAGGCUACAGCUAUUUAUUAAAUUUGUUCUUGUUCAUAUUCUUCUUUGUAUAUAAACAACCCUAAAAUGGGUUAGUCAGAAAAAAUUACUAAAUGUCAUUUGUUGUAUUCUCUCUGUAUUUUUACUAACAUCAUUCAGCUGGAAAUAAUUUCAAAAAGAAAUAAAAU